rnacentral:rRNA from 1 species
CCUACGGGAGGCAGCAGUGGGGAAUAUUGCACAAUGGGGGAAACCCUGAUGCAGCGACGCCGCGUGAGUGAGGAAGUAUUUCGGUAUGUAAAGCUCUAUCAGCAGGGAAGAAAAUGACGGUACCUGACUAAGAAGCCCCGGCUAACUACGUGCCAGCAGCCGCGGUAAUACGUAGGGGGCAAGCGUUAUCCGGAUUUACUGGGUGUAAAGGGAGCGUAGACGGCUAAUCAAGUCAGAAGUGAAAACCCAGGGCUCAACCUUGGGAGUGCUUUUGAAACUGAGUAGCUAGAGUGCAGGAGAGGUAAGCGGAAUUCCUAGUGUAGCGGUGAAAUGCGUAGAUAUUAGGAGGAACACCAGUGGCGAAGGCGGCUUACUGGACUGUAACUGACGUUGAGGCUCGAAAGCGUGGGGAGCAAACAGGAUUAGAUACCCCAGUAG